rnacentral:rRNA from 1 species
GUCUACGGCCAUACCACCCUGAACACACCCGAUCUCUGAUCUCAGAAGCUGACCAGAGUCGGGCCUGGUUAGUACUUGGAUCAGAGAAAGGCAGCAGUAGUUG